rnacentral:rRNA from 1 species
GAUGAACGCUGGCGGCGUGCCUAAUACAUGCAAGUCGAGCGAACGGACGAGAAGCUUGCUUCUCUGAUGUUAGCGGCGGGCGGGAGAGUAACACGUGGAUAACCUACCUAUAAGACUGGGAUAACUUCGGGAAACCGGAGCUAAUACCAGAUAAUAUUUUGAACCGCAUGGUUCAAAAAAGAAAGACGGUCUUGCUGUCACUUAUAGAUGGAUCCGCGCUGCAUUAGCUAGUUGGUAAGGUAACGGCUUACCAAGACAACGAUGCAUAGCCGACCUGGGAGGGUGAUCGGCCACACUGGAACGGGGACACGGUCCAGACUCCUACGGGAGGCACCAGUAGGGAAUCUUCGGCAAGGGGGGAAAGCCUGACGGAGCAACGCCGCGUGAGUGAUGAAGGUCUUCGGAUCUUAAAACUCUGUUAUUAGGGAAGAACAUAUGUGUAAGUAACUGUGCACAUCUUGACGGUACCUAAUCAGAAAGCCACGGCUAACUACGUG